UGUAAGCGUUAGCUGCCCUCUCUCCUUGCUCAGCGCUGUGCAAAAAUAAAGUUCCUACUUUCUUCCACCACCCCCGGUGUCAGAGAUUGUCUUGCUGCGCAACGGGAUGGCUGCCAUAGUUCCAGUCAUCACAUCAUCACAUAAAGCAGGAAGAAGGGAGAAAAGACAAAGAGCCAUAGCUGCUGCAUCUUUUUCCUUUUAUCAUGACAGCAAGAGAUUUUCCAGAAACACCCUUCAGCUGACUUCUGCUUAGUUUUCAUUGGCCAGAAAAAAAGUCACAUGGCCAUCACUGGCUUCAAAGGAAUCUAAAAAGUAAGGAACAGAAUUGUCAUAUUUGGCCUAGAUCACCUUGUCAUGAUCACCUUGGAAACGCUACUACAGAUGCCUCAGAUAAAAUCUAUUAUCUAUUAGCGAGAAAGAAGAAGGGAGACUGUACAUUGGGUAGUCAACUUAUGGUAUCCGUCACUUCAUCCUAAACGCUAGCCAUGAAGAGCACUUUUAUUUCCCAACAUAUUCCAAGCUCUUUCAUGCAUCCAGUUCUUUGUAUCUGCUGCCUGGAAUCACCUUGCUCUCUGUCUUCACCUAACAAACUCCUUCUUAGCCUUCAGAACUCAGGGCAAUUUCACCACAAUAAAAAUAUAUAUUAAAGAAAAAACUUGGGGCAGACAUCACCUCCUUUGGAAUGCCCUUCCUUCCUCCCUUCCUCCCUCUCUCCUUGGUGUGGAUGAAAUAUCCCUCAUCAGGAACACCUGAACUCCCCACAAAUCACGCCUAAUGGAUUGUCCGUGAUGCUAAAAGCCAGCUACUUCCUUUUGUCCUCACAGAGUGGUAACCAAAUCAAUAGACGUGUCUCAAUGCCUUUGCUUUUCCUGAUUCUAACCCCUGCCUUAUGCCCAGUUGCAUUUCUGCCAUUUGGUUCUCAAAGACACCACCAAAUCCUUACCAUUCUUAUAAUAAACUUCCUUUUCUGCCUAUGCCAGCUCAGGCUGGUUUGUUACUCAAAUCUGGGAGUCGUGAUUCACCCGUGAUCCCUCGCUCACGGGCAUCCCGGCAUUACCUACAGGGGCAGAGACAGUUAGAGCUCACCACCAAUCUCUGAGCUCCCCUAGGUUUCCUGGCUUCCACAGAAGUUAGCGUGGGGGUGACCAUGUGACCAGUUCUAGCCAACGGACUAUGAGCGGAAGUGACGUGUGUUACUUCUGGACCAACGCGGUUAAGAGCCAAUGUACCUCCUCCAUCUGUCUUGACCCCACUGUGACAACAACAUGUCCCCUGUGGUGUGGCUAUAAGAAGGAGGAGGGCUUCCCAACCUACGGAGGACUUUGCACCAGCCAAAAGACAAACUUUUUUUCAUGAUAAGCCACCGAGACCUGGGGGGGUUUGUUCCCGCAGCUACCAUUACUUACGUUAUUAUAUCUGUUAAAUGACAGCUGUAUGUGACUGCUCUCUUCCAUUAGAACAUGAUCUGUUUGAGGUCAGUAGCUGAGUUCAUCUUAGAACUCCUGCACCAGCCCCUACAGGACCUGGGACAGGAAGUGUGUUUGUUAAAUGUGUGUUGAAUGAAUUACAAGCAGAUGAAUCAUUCCAUCCAAUGUUUCAACACCUCAAGUGAACACUUACUCGUAACCCGAGGAGUCUGGAAACUUCGAAAGCUGGAAAUUGAGCCUAGAAUCUUCUAUCUCCAAGCCAAGGGCUUUUUGCAUAUCAUUGUGGAUAGAUGACGGGAACUGUGAAUUAACUCCAACGUGUGACAGUUCAGCAGACAGGCAGUCUCCGUGGAGCUUUCUAGAACAAUUAUUCUGGAAAGUCAUUUCUGGGAAAGGGCCCAAGAAUUUACCCACAGCAGAGGAGAAAGACUUCAAACAUUGACUGCUUCUGUUGCCCUGGUCAUGAAACUCUGAAAACAACACAAGUCAGAAGCUUCCUAGGGGACAGAGGAGCAUCUGUCCUUUGAAAAACUUCAACAUUUCUGUUAAACAAUUUUUCUGGAAUUAACAAAGGGGAAAGUGAGCAGAAACAUUCUGAAAAUCCAGCAAUUAGGCUCAAAAAGUCAGUUCAGGGUGAGGAAACAAAUUUUGUGACAGCUUGUGUAAAUGCCUGAAUUAACUGAAACUCGGUAGUAAUAAAGAUAAAAUUUGCUUUGCUGUUGCCAAUGGGAUGAGACUACUGUGUGUCAGGUGCAGAAGUGGCCUUUAUAGGCAGGAUCCUUCCUUAUUCCUUAUAGCAAAGCGGUAACGUACCGAAUGCUGGUCCCAUUUUACAGGUGAAGAAAACGAGGUCAGAGUACUUAGGAAAUUUCCUAAAGAUCACAAAGGUAAUAAGUGGCGAACAUAGGAUUCAAACCGAGGCUUUUUGAAUUCCAAAGCCCACGCUCUAGGUUUUCAGAUGUGGCCAGUUUGAUUCUCUUAUUUGAAAGUCUCAGAAAUCCACUGUAAACUGGUUUAGACAAAGGGACUUUAUUGGUUCACAGAAUACAAAAAGGAUUGAAUGACAAUCCACCGGAAGGACAGGGAUAGCGCUGGGCUUCCGGGGCAACCGCAUCCAGAUGCCCGAAGGCUGCCGGCAGUCCCUCCCCCUCCAUUUCUCUGCUCCUCUCAGGGUCACCUUCAUUGUCUCUCUUACAUGGUGUUCUUCCCACACACGGCAGAAAACACGGCUGUCAACACAUCCCAAACCUCACAUCCGUCAGCUCCUACCCAGAGAGGAUCUGACUGACUUCAGCGCCAGUUUGAAAAAUCCGAGAGCAGAAAUCGGAUCGGACAGCUUGCGUCAAUACCUCCUCUGUACCCAUCCACUCUGGCCAUGGAGAUGGGUCAUCUAAGAACAAGGCAGCUUCUUGUUCGGAGGAAGAUAAAGUGGCUGAAAAAACCAAAAUGGUCCAAGGAAAUAUAAAAGCUUAGCUGGAAGCAGAGGAAAUACUCAGGGGGAUGUUCCUGUGAUCUGUAGACAUCUGAAGGACGGUCACGAGGAAGAGGAGGUGCUCUGAGUCACUAUGGGACUGAUGGGCACAAGUUUCCAGGAGACAGACGUCAGGUUCAGGUUCGGCAUUCGCUAAAUUUGUUACAACUGAUGAGCCUACACUGACACAUCGUUAUCACCCAACG
rnacentral:lncRNA from 1 species